AUGUUGCUGAAACUCAUCCUUGAGUGGGGAAAAUAUUAUCUUCAGAUGAGAAGCCCUGGCCUGAAGGUCAAAGGCCAAAUCGUUUACCUGACUUCCCUGAGUUGCCACAAGCUAAACCAAGGCUCUCCACCUACUUCAUCUCCCUCCUUCUCCUCCGCUCACCUCCAACACAAAGCCAGGUCCUUUCGUGCCUUAGCUCUUCCUCCAGCACGCGUGCAUGGCCGUCCGCCAGCUUCUGCAAGGAGUCCUUUCAGGAAAAUGCCAGACACAGGACCAACUUCAACUACAGAGGUCCUUCAUUAUCCACAAGGCAUUGGUUCCAGGACCCCCAGAGAUACCAACAGCAAUCCCAGGAGGCUCACAUCCCUUUACGUAACAUGCGGGAGUAUGGCCAGCCCUCUGGUUUCCACAUCUACUUGGAUUCAGAGACUGACUAUGCUUCAAAAAGGCCAUGGGACCGCUUUUAUUUAAUUUUAAUUUAAUUUAAUUUUAUUUUAUUUUGUCUUUUUGCCAUUUCUAGGGCCGCUCCCACGGCAUAUGGAGGUUCCCAGGCUAGGGAUCCAAUUGGAGCUGUAGCCUCUGGCCUACACCAGAGCCCCAGCAACGCAGGAUCCGAGCCACAUCUGCAACCCACAUCACAGCUCACAGCAACGCCGUGACUAGGAACCAUGAGGACACAGGUUCGAUUCCUGACCUCGCUCAGUGGGUUAAGAAUCUGGCAUUGCUAUGAGCUGUGGUGUAGGCCGGCAGCUACAGCUCUGAUUUGACUCCUAGUCUGGGAACCUCCAUAUGCCGAGGGUGCAGCCCUAAAAAGACCACCACCACCACAACAAAUCCAAAAUGAGAAGAAAAGAAAUAAAAAUUAGAGCAGAAAUCAAAGACACUAAAAACAGGAAAUCAAUAGGAAAAAAUCAAGUAAACUAAAAUCUGUUCCUUUGAAACAAUCAAGAAAAUUUAUAAGCCUCUAGCAAGGUUAAGAAAAAACUCUAGAGGGCCAAAGGCUUCAACUUUCACCACUCUGGAAACUUGGGUUCUAGAUUCCAGAGUCAGAAAGCCAGAGAAAUCUAGAAUAGGGCCAUGGGAUUUUAAAGCUAACAGAGGCCUUCUAGGGGCUCUGAUCCAAGUUCCCACUACAUGCAGGAAUUCUCUCUGCAGAUCACCAUCUAGCAUCUGCUUGAAUACUCUUAGGAGCAGUGAGCUCACUACCGAAAGCUUUAAAGAUGCAUCUUUACAUCAAACCAAAACGUGCCUUCUUGCAUGCUCGCUCCCUUGUCCUGGCUCUGCUGGCUCCUUGGGGACAGAGACGACCAGCUGAGUCUCUAACAGGAAGCUUCAGUCUCACUUAAGAAUCUUCUUGCUCAGACUACACACCCCCAGGGCUUUAACUGAGCACCCUCCGCUGGCCAGCUAAG
rnacentral:lncRNA from 1 species